rnacentral:sRNA from 1 species
CUGAAAUAAACGGACGCGAUAACGAUCGGCGCGUG